rnacentral:rRNA from 1 species
UACGGGGGGGGCAAGCGUUGUUCGGAAUUACUGGGCGUAAAGGGCUCGUAGGCGGCCAACUAAGUCGGAUGUGAAAUCCCCAGGCUUAACCUGGGAACUGCAUCCGAUACUGGAUGGCUUGAAUCCGGGAGAGGGAUGCGGAAUUCCAGGUGUAGCGGUGAAAUGCGUAGAUAUCUGGAGGAACACCGGUGGCGAAGGCGGCAUCCUGGACCAACACUGACGCUGAGGGACGAGAGCCAGGGGAGCGAAUGGG